rnacentral:rRNA from 1 species
AUUGAACGCUGGCGGCAGGCCUAACACAUGCAAGUCGAACGGUAGCACAGAGAGCUUGCUCUCGGGUGACGAGUGGCGGACGGGUGAGUAAUGUCUGGGAAACUGCCCGAUGGAGGGGGAUAACUACUGGAAACGGUAGCUAAUACCGCAUAACGUCGCAAGACCAAAGAGGGGGACCUUCGGGCCUCUUGCCAUCGGAUGUGCCCAGAUGGGAUUAGCUUGUGGGUGAGGUAACGGCUCACCUAGGCGACGAUCCCUAGCUGGUCUGAGAGGAUGACCAGCCACACUGGAACUGAGACACGGUCCAGACUCCUACGGGAGGCAGCAGUGGGGAAUAUUGCACAAUGGGCGCAAGCCUGAUGCAGCCAUGCCGCGUGUAUGAAGAAGGCCUUCGGGUUGUAAAGUACUUUCAGCGGGGAGGAAGGGAGUGAGGUUAAUAACCUCAUUCAUUGACGUUACCCGCAGAAGAAGCACCGGCUAACUCCGUGCCAGCAGCCGCGGUAAUACGGAGGGUGCGAGCGUUAAUCGGAAUUACUGGGCGUAAAGCGCACGCAGGCGGUCUGUCAAGUCGGAUGUGAAAUCCCCGGGCUCAACCUGGGAACUGCAUUCGAAACUGGCAGGCUGGAGUCUUGUAGAGGGGGGUAGAAUUCCAGGUGUAGCGGCGAAAUGCGUAGAGAUCUGGAGGAAUACCGGUGGCGAAGGCGGCCCCCUGGACAAAGACUGACGCUCAGGUGCGAAAGCGUGGGGAGCAAACAGGAUUAGAUACCCUGGUAGUCCACGCUGUAAACGAUGUCGACUUGGAGGUUGUUCCCUUGAGGAGUGGCUUCCGGAGCUAACGCGUUAAGUCGACCGCCUGGGGAGUACGGCCGCAAGGUUAAAACUCAAAUGAAUUGACGGGGGCCCGCACAAGCGGUGGAGCAUGUGGUUUAAUUCGAUGCAACGCGAAGAACCUUACCUACUCUUGACAUCCAGAGAACUUAGCAGAGAUGCUUUGGUGCCUUCGGGAACUCUGAGACAGGUGCUGCAUGGCUGUCGUCAGCUCGUGUUGUGAAAUGUUGGGUUAAGUCCCGCAACGAGCGCAACCCUUAUCCUUUGUUGCCAGCGAUUCGGUCGGGAACUCAAAGGAGACUGCCAGUGAUAAACUGGAGGAAGGUGGGGAUGACGUCAAGUCAUCAUGGCCCUUACGAGUAGGGCUACACACGUGCUACAAUGGCAUAUACAAAGAGAAGCGACCUCGCGAGAGCAAGCGGACCUCAUAAAGUAUGUCGUAGUCCGGAUUGGAGUCUGCAACUCGACUCCAUGAAGUCGGAAUCGCUAGUAAUCGUGGAUCAGAAUGCCACGGUGAAUACGUUCCCGGGCCU